rnacentral:lncRNA from 1 species
AAAAGCAAUUGAAUACAAAGGCUAAAGUAAAAGAACCUGAUCACUUAUGGAGUUGGGUUUGUUCUUGCAGAUCACAUAUCAAGCUUCUGCGAUGGACCAGGCAUUGUAAUAGGCACUCGAGAAACAAGGAUAUUCCCAGUCCUCAAGGAUCUUCCCUUCUGGUUUGCAAGGAAAUGGUGGUGUGCCGUCUGCUGUGAAAUUCUUGACCCCGUCGGAAUCAUCAGGCUAGAAGGAGGGGGAUACGUAACCCACUAAGGCAGAAUGGACUUUAAGGGAGAAACAGUCUUGGACCACGUGGUGUUCUGGUUCGGCCAUGCUGACCGGCAGGUGAAGACACGCCGAUCCCCCUCCUUCCUCUGGGAUCUGGCAGGAUUUGGACGAGGAUGACCUUCCCAUCCCUGAUACUGGAUGAUGAUGCGCCCACUGCCCCGUGCUCCACCAGGACCGGAGGCCACCUUAAUGCUUGAUCCAGGGCCAGGUAAAGUUCCUGUAGCAGCCGCUGCUCCUCCGUCAGCUCUCCCAGAGGUCGUAGAGCCGCCACCUCAGCAGACUCUGAUCCUGGCUGCAGAAGCCUCUGGCCAACACUUCCAGAAUCUGGCUCCAGCUGAACUGCCCAAGCUAUACCCACCUCUCCCGGACAGAAUCUCAGGACUGCACUGCCUGCUCACAGGUCAGUGCUACCUCUUGGCACAGACAGAAACCUCCAGGGAUUCAGCUGAAAGGCACGCUGCCCUUUGAACACCUGGAAGUGGACUUCACUGAAAUGAAACCUCACCAACACUACCGUCACCUGCUGGUCACGGUAUGUACGUUCUCGGGAUGGGUAGAACCUUUUCCUCCCCGGACUGAAAGAGCAUCAGAAGUAGGCUGGUGCCUGCUUAGAGAAAUAGUUCCCAGAUUUGGAUUUCCUACCAGCAUUGGAUCAGACAAUGGCCCGGCUUUCGUAGCUGAUUUAGUAUAACAGAUAAGCAAUGUCAAGUGGAAAUUACAUACAGCAUAUAGGCCCCAGAGUUCUGCGAUGGUGGAAGGAACCAACCGGACACUUAAAGAGACACUCUCCAAAUGGAUCAUAGAGACUGACUGCUCCUGGGUGGACUUGCUUCUGACGGUUCUGCUCAGACUCAGGAUGACUCCAUGGUCCCAUGGCUAUUCUCCGUACGAAAUUGUGUAUGGGGGGCCCCCUCCCAUUAUAAAACAGGUGUCAACAAAUUUGCCUCAGGUAAGCGGGGGAUAGGAUUUCACAGCAGAUGGAACUGGGUAAGGUGAUAAAUCCGGUAACUAAGUUUGUACAAGAAAGAGUGCUGUUCCCCCUUGGGAAACAGAUUCAUGAGUUUAUGCUUGGUGACCAAGUAUGGGUCAAAGAUUGGAAACAUGAUUUACUAGCACCUUGGUGGAAGGGCCCUUAUACUGUUAAUCUAACAACCCCUACUUCAGUUAAAGUUGCAGGUAUUGCCCCUUGGAUCCAUCAUAUGAGGGUGAAGAGAGCAUACCACGCAGACCCAGAAAAUGCUGAGUGGACUGCACAGAGGGACCCCGCUGACCCUUGAGAGACUAAGAUCAUCCUUAAGAAGAAGAGGAAAAAGAAGAUCCUGGAUGAGCUCCUUCAGGAUGAAGUCACAUAAUCAACUCCUGCUGCUUGGUCUCAUCAGUGUGCACAUUCCUAUGUGGACUUCCACUCUACCUCCAACUGCUGGGUAUGUGGGGCUAUGCGUCUGUCUGUGAUCGAUGGACUUCCUGG